GCGUUUGAGAAAUCCCCCACAAACGCAGUUCAGAGCACCCAGGUCUGCGGCCUGUGGCUCCAGAACAUUGAUUUUUUUCUCCUUCGCCUCACGAGAAAAUCCUCCCAACUUCUCUAAUUGAAGAAGCGCUGGGGUGUCUGCACCUGACCCUGAGAGAAAAACCUCAGCUUUAAAUGUUCCUGAUUACAGGUUGUCCGCGCUCAUGUCACAUGCAGACACGCACUUGUCAAACAACAUACGCGGCGUGGAAGACAGAGGCUGGGAGAAGAGCUGGGCCUGGGUCGUCUGGUGGGCUGUCAGCAGCUGACUGCUCUGACCUCAUCCCUACAACAUUAGGCAGAAUGAAGUUGACCAGAGUGGAAUGUGAUAAAAUGAGCAAAUGACCCAGUCGACCAGCAUAACCACAGAGGGAAAAGAAGACGAGAACAGAGAGAAAGCAGCACCGUGUGAAAGUGCUGGAUGAGCCUAUUGAAUCAGCAGGUUGGCGUGGCGACGGCGGCCUGUAUUUCCACCUUCCAGCUUGACUGUUGGGUCCAAGGCCGGGCAGCGAGGGGGGAGAUCAAUGGUGCGGGGCAAAGCCACGAGAUGGAGAGACCUGUCAGGCCUGAAUUAGAUGUUAAAUCUUUUGGACAAAAUGUAUUGUGUUAAGAAUUUAUCAUGUGCUGUUUCCUGCGAGAUGAUGUAUAGAAAAGAUUUGUCGGCGGGCACAGUCAGAAUCUGCUGUUUCAGGGCUAAAGUGGUUGUCAGGCAACACAUGAUAGAUUUUUAUCUGCACCUCCUCGGUCUCCCUCCGCCUCUCUCCCACACCCCUCCCCCCAUUUCUCUCUCUCACCCCUCUACCUUUUCUCAUUUUUUACCCUCUCUGUUUCUCUCUCUUCUGUUGUCUCCUGUUCUCAUUCCCAUGUCCCCAUAAACAUUGCCAUGUGCUCAAAAUGCUCAUUUACUUUCCUUAGCAGGAGGUGUGAUGUCAUCACACUUGAAUUGAUAGUGUAGUUGUCUCCCUGGGUGAUGUCACUCUGAGGGGUCUGCUUCGAGGAAUGGGAACCAGACCCCAUUGGGGAACCCAGCCAGAACAAAAGCCCAGUUGUGCAGUAAGGCUAACAGAAGCCAUAUCAGGCAUUAUCCUAUGCACGCAAGGUCUAUUGGUGAUCAUUUGCUUUCAGCCUACUGUUGUGUGAGGAAGAUUGCCCAGUGACUGGCGGGCUGCAUGAGGUGGUGCUUAUGCUCCAGAUCUGUGUCUGCUCAGGGCAGAUGCAGCUCAGGCCAGUUUACAUGACACUAUUAUUUAUGAUAAUUAUAAUGAUUAUUAUAUGGACAGAAUUUUUAAUUACUUAUUUAAUGCCUCUUCAUUGACAAAUUUUCAUGUGAAGUUGAUUUGUUAUUUAUGAUGUGUCAUAAGCAAUGUGUCCUCUUCACUUUCCCCCAAUGGAAGAAUUGCUCCCUUUCCUUUCUAACUUAUGAACAGUGUCCACUUCCCUCUCAUCUCUUGUGGACUGAAUGUCCUCUUCUCUCUCAUCUCUAAUAGACAGAAUGUCCCCUUCUCUCUCAUCUCUAAUGGACAAGUUGUCCUUUUCUCUCUCAUCUGUACAGGUUGACAGGUUGUCUCUCUCCUGUGUUACAGGCUGACCCCCCUCUCUUAUGCACAGAGUGUCCCCUCCCUCGGUGUGUUGCCAGGACACUAUGCAGGGGUUUGUGGGCUGGAAUUACAAAAAACUCCUGGCAGACCCUGUGACUCUGCUGCCCGGGGCACUGCUUCUAGACCGGAAGAAUUUGAGGAAUGCCCCGUAAAUCCCUUUUCCCCUCUCCCUUGGCAACAGGCAUGGCCAGCACUGCUUACAUGGGGUCCCCCAUACCCCUGUUCCACUUGAAAAUGGGUAUAAUACUGUCCUCACACUGCCCUUCUCUGGCUUUCUGCUCUCCAGCCUUUUGGAAGCAAUGAUGUUGAUUAAUCUAACUAUUUCUUCCUGUCAGAGACCAAAAAAAUAAAUCCUGCUUCAGUAUACAUUCAUGCAACUUUUUGUCAUACAAUAUAUAGAUAAUUGAAAAAUAAUAGUAAUGUUUCCUUUUCUGAUAAAAAUUCAACCCCAGACUAAAACGCAAAGAAUUUUAAUUAUCUUUUCGUAUCAAAUACACACUCAGAUUGUGCAGCUGUGGGCGGUGUAUUUGUCAGUGGUGAGACCGUUUGCCGGGUGUGUGGAUGUGUCUGCUGAGUGUGUUUGCGGAGUGCGUGCUGUGAGGGAGGCAGACAUCUGGCCGCUGUGUCAGGCUGUGUUUGCUCAGAGGCUGUUACGCUGGUGAGAGGACGCUGAUCUGCGUAGCGUUGGCCUCUCUGACCUCCCGGAGCAGGAGAGGUGCCUGGCAGUCAAGCCCCCACCCCCGUGCCUGUGGCUGCUGUGUCACCGGGGGGUCAGCAAGGGGCAGGUCAGAGCUUUCUGCCCCUGUACGCCCGCUUGUGUGUUUGUGUGGGUGCGUGUGUGUGCGAGAGGUGGCGAGAAAAAGGAAACCUCUUUCACACAUUGUCAGAGAUGGAAAUAAAGAGAAAAAUAAAUUUUAAAAACUGCUCCCAGUGAUCGAGAGAUUUACAGAGGGAACAGUGUGUUCCCCUCCAUUGUCGGGAAUGAAGGAAGUCACAGUUUCCGUGGUGACUGCUGUACCCACCCCCCAAUUCUACCCUUAUUCUCAAGGACCCCUGGAAAGAUUACCUGAUUAGAAAGCCCCGAUAACAGGUUAGACACAAGAAAGGAGCACUUCGGUCCCUGAGCAAAGUCCACUGCAGCAAUUAAAGCAGAGAUGAAAGAAUACAAGAUGGCUGAUAAAUAAUUGACUCUUUCCUGAAGUGCAGGGAGGGGGGCGAGGCGCUUGUGCCGGGUUACAUAACCGCACAGGGGGAGCUAAUGGAUGGGCCAAGGUCCUGUGUGGUGGCACCAGGCCCAGACGAGGCAGGAGUCACCGCUGCAGUGGUCACAUUGGUCAAGGCUGCUCUCUGUCCGAGCCGCACUUACGGGGGCCGGUAAUGGCUGAGAGGUUCCGUAAAACACCGGCUGAUGGCUGCUGUCUCCAGCCCCGGCGUAAAGCAAUAUUCUCAGAGGAGCCAUCCGCCCAAAUGUAUUUAAAUGUAUUCUGGUAAUUACAAAUCUCUACACACAAACUGCAGCGCCGCUCUUUGGCUUUGCAACAGGAGACGUUUUGUAGCACAACUGUACUGAGAUAAUUACAUGGUUCUACU